ACAUAAUUUGGAUUUAAGGAUCACUGGGAAUGUUUUGGAGGGAUUUAGGAUCCUUUUUCUAAGAGAAAAGUUCUCCAGAAUGUUUUAAGACCAACCAGGAUUUCCAGGAAUAUUUUGAAGGGAUAUUUUUUUCCUUUUUCCAAGAGAAAAGUUCUCCAGAAUUCCAGGAAUAUUUUGAAGGGAUUUUUUUUUCCUUUUUCCAAGAGAAAAAUUCUCCAGAAUGUUUUAAAUCCAAUCAGAAUUUCCAGGAAUAUUUUAACAGGAUUUUGCUAUUUUUUCCAUGAAAAAAUUAUCCAGAACAUUGCUGGCAAUCCCAUAAUUCCAUACAGAGCAUAUCUUAGAAUUUCCAGGAAUAUUUUGACAGGAUUUUGCUAUUUUUUCCAUGAAAAAAUUAUCCAGAACAUUGCUGGCAAUCCCAUAAUUCCAUACAGAGCAUAUCUUUUUGUAGAUUCCCAAAAUUUCCCAGCUGAUUCCGGGAUUUUUUCCGUGCAGAGUUUCCGCUUCGGGCCCGAGAUCGCCUACGUGGGAUCCGCCAUCCUGGAUGUGUGCAAAGGGAUCCGGGGGAAAACCCUGCUGGGAGGGAGCCAGCACGGCCACGUGGGGGGCGCCCGGCUGGGGUCGGUGGCUCUGCUGUCCCGCAGCAACCUGAACGUGUUUGAGGACGCCGUGGAAUUGUCUGGGAGGGACCCCCCGGCCAAAAUCCACAUCAUUGGGGUGAGGCCCGCUCCAAUUCCCAGGAUUUCAGUCAAUAUUCCAGAAAAAACAGGAAUUUUCAGGAAAAAACUGGAAUUUUUUGUGCCCAGGGAUGCCAUUACUCUCUAACCCGUGCAGGCGUCAUCAAAUUUUUUUGGAUAAUUUUUCCCGUUUUUGUGAUUAUUUAUCCCAUUGUUAUGA
rnacentral:lncRNA from 12 species